rnacentral:rRNA from 1 species
UACGGGGGGGGCAAGCGUUGUUCGGAAUUACUGGGCGUAAAGGGCUCGUAGGUGGCCAACUAAGUCACACGUGAAAUCCCUCGGCUUAACCGGGGAACUGCGUGUGAUACUGGAUGGCUUGAGUUUGGGAGAGGGAUGCGGAAUUCCAGGUGUAGCGGUGAAAUGCGUAGAUAUCUGGAGGAACACCGGUGGCGAAGGCGGCAUCCUGGACCAAUACUGACGCUGAAGAACGAAAGCUAGGGGAGCAAACAGG